GAUGAACGCUGGCGGCGUGCCUAAUACAUGCAAGUCGAGCGAACGGACGAGAAGCUUGCUUCUCUGAUGUUAGCGGCGGACGGGUGAGUAACACGUGGAUAACCUACCUAUAAGACUGGGAUAACUUUGGGAAACCGGAGCUAAUACCGGAUGAUAUUUUGAACCGCAUGGUUCAAAAGUGAAAGACGGUCUUGCUGUCACUUAUAGAUGGAUCCGCGCUGCAUUAGCUAGUUGGUAAGGUAACGGCUUACCAAGGCAACGAUGCAUAGCCGACCUGAGAGGGUGAUCGGCCACACUGGAACUGAGACACGGUCCAGACUCCUACGGGAGGCAGCAGUAGGGAAUCUUCCGCAAUGGGCGAAAGCCUGACGGAGCAACGCCGCGUGAGUGAUGAAGGUCUUCGGAUCGUAAAACUCUGUUAUUAGGGAAGAACAUAUGUGUAAGUAACUGUGCACAUCUUGACGGUACCUAAUCAGAAAGCCACGGCUAACUACGUG
rnacentral:rRNA from 1 species